rnacentral:lncRNA from 1 species
UGAAUCAUCAGAUGAAGAAGUAGUUCCGGAAACUCCACCUGUCACAACUAUGGUAAAUGUCUCUUUACCAAUACUUUCAACUUCGCAAAUUUCUACUACCAUUUCACAAACCCAACCACUCGAAAUAGUUCUUACCAAAUCAGUUACUGAGGAGGUACCUAUUUCCGAUAUGGUUGUCAACGUAUCUGAUACGGGGGAACCUAUCCCGAGUGUUGCAUCCACAAUACAAACAUCCUUACCUAUUACCACUUUAUCCACCACUUCAUCCAUCUUUGAUCAUACCCUUCAAAACCCAUUCACAACACUUUUUCCAUCCCAAUCACCCGAAAAUCCUCCACCUUCGAAACAAAUGUCUGAUACUGAAGUUGAAGGAGGUGCUUUUGGAGGAAUUCUAGAUGACAUUCCUUUUGAUUCAGACGAAGAAGAUAUUCCUGAUCAUAUGCUGAUGACAGGAAAGCAGUUUAAAAUCCUGAAUCAAAAGUUAAAGGACAUUAUCCAAUCGCAAGCCGAUUCUGGGAGAAUGUCUUCGAUAUCAGCAAUGGAGGUUGAUGUCAUGAUUAAAGGUGCUGAAAAAAGGAUCAUGGAGAAGGUUGAUCAAUCCGAUAAAAAUAACGAACUCAGAGUUCAAGCACAAGGGAACAAUUUUACUUCUGCAGUUCAAGAUCUUAAAGCUGCUACAAAAGAACGACACAUUCUUUUUGUACAAGACGUAAAGAAAGUUCGUGAGGAUGUCAACUUCAAGAUUCAGGAAUUGAAGUCUGAACUUGUGAAAGAUCUUCAGGAUGUGCAUACGAGACAAGAAGAUCUUCAAAAGCAAAUUAUGGAGAUUUCUUCUCAACUCCAAAAGCUCAAUAAUAUUCCUGUUAUUGAAGAUCAUAAAGCUGCAACAAUGGAGAAGUUUGAUCACCUGAUAACAUUGGUCACUGAGCUUAAAUCAGCCAUUUCGCAUUCUUCAUCAUCGCAAAUCAUUACUCCUGAAUUCUUGUCUCUAAAGAUUAAUACUUUAGAACAAGCUAUUCAAAAAGCUCUUGCUCCGCUUACAAAUUUCACUUCUUUCCUUCCGAAGAGUGCUCCACCUGUUUUCACUGGGGUGCAAGGGGGAGAGAAAAAUCGAAGUAAAGAAGAGGAGGCUAAAACAGUGGGAAAAGUGAUUUCGACUCAACUGGUAGCUACUCUUCCCUUUCCUACAAAACCGAUUUCUUUAACAACAAUCACCACAAAAACAGUUUCAAAGGGAAUUUUUAUUGGAGAAAACGAAGGAGGUUCAAGCUCAAAACCUCAGAAAGAUGUAAUAGGAAAAGGAAAAGGCAUUUUGUACGAAAAUUCGAAGGAGGAGUUAAAAGCUGAUGUUGAGGCUGAAUUGGAGAGGAUGAGACAAGUUCAGAGCAUCAUGAGACAAAGGGCAAGUGAUCCUCCCUCCAUGAACAAAGGAGAUCCUGCGAAACUUUACUCUUACGAAACUAUAGAGUCGAAAGUUGUGGGUAGGGAGAUGUAUGAGUUCGAGAAGAAGCCUAAAAGAAGUUACGAUUUUGCGAACUCAGAUCAUUGUCAACUGGACUUCCCAAUUAAUGAAAUGUUGUUCAUCAUAACUCAAUACAAGAUCAGUGAGAAAUUUGAUAAUCCAGAUGAUUAUACUCUUAUGAAAAUCAGAUUUCAUGCUGUUCUAGGGAAGAAUCCAGAUGAAGUUUGGUCCUUGAUGAAGAUCAAGAAGGUGCUUACAAUAAAGAAGGAUGUUUUGUUUGAAGACAUGCUUCAAAAUUUUCGAUAUUUUGUCAUCAGAGCUGACAACAAACAAUAUGACUUCACAGUUGCUGAUUUUCCGUUGAUGAACUGCAACGAUCUAAUUCAAGUAGCUCUAAUCUUGAAGCAUAUGGAAGAAAACAAUCUCAAAGGCUCUGAGACAGAUGUGUUUAAAGUUGGAUUCGCACAUGUGAAGACAUUUAUCGAUAACUAUUUCGAUUGUCUUGCUCUUACUGAUGAAGAAUUAGCGAAUGUGCUAGGAAGAGAAGUUAAAGUUCCAUGGGAGGAUACUUUGACACAAUCUGCUCUGUCGAAGUAUGUUGUGGGUGAGAUAUGCCUGAAACCUUUUGGCAUGGUGUUUUCGAGAAGAGAUACUAAAGGAAAACUGAAGAAAUUUCUCUUCAAAGCAUCAGAGAUUGAAAGAUACAAUUCUUCGCAAUAUACGCACUUCAUUAUACGUAUGAACUAUUGCAAGAAAAAUAACGAAGGAGACAAGAAAGACUUGAAGGAGGUGAUCUCCUGGUAUGGAGAAGUGCGAAGAACAAUUCACUCUGCAAUUCAAAAGCUUUUGAGUUGAAUUGUAUCGACUGUUUACAAAGGGGGAGAAUGUAAAUGUAUAUUGUAAAAAGUCGAAUAGUGUGUAUUGUAAUGUUUCGCAUUUGUAUGUUAUUUUACUAACCCAUUUUAUAUGCGAAGUUAAAAUGUAUAGACUUAGUAUAUUUUUUUGUAUGUUCCCUAUAAAUAGGGACUUAGGCUUGAAGUAGAUACACAAUAGCGAAACACAAAAUCUCUCUUCAGCUUACUCUGUAAUCAGUCUUAAUCAAUAUGAGAUCUGAUUAAUAUUUACUCUUUGUGUUCGUCUUCUUUAAUUAUUCAAAUCUAUCUUUUCUUUUCUAAAUUCUCGAUAACAAUUCUCAUAAAAUCUUCAAUUUCUGCUUCACCUUGCUUCUGGGGUUGAAGGAUUGAAUGUUGAAAGAAUAAUCUUCAUUUCUUGCUCCUUCGAAUGAGAGUUCUUCGAUGCUCACGGACGAAACCUUGGCUCAGAAAUCUUCGACACAAACUCCAUGAGUUUCAUCUUUACCUGAAUUCACUUUUCAAGACAAAACAAAACUAAAAGAAAAUUUAGCACACAAUAUUUUUGUUUUUUUUGUUUUUUUUUUUAAAUUUUUUGAACAAAAAAUAAAAUAGAAAUAACACUAUUUUUUAUUUUUAAUUUUUUGAUUUUUUUUUUAAUUUUUAAUUUCUAAUUCUCCCCCUUUUAUUUAUAUUAGAAGAACACUAUGAAGAAACUUAACAAAAACAAAAAUAAUAGCUAACUUUAAGAGUGAUUUGGGAUCAAAGUUUUUAGAUAGCCUUUAUCCGUUUAUCAGUACCUCUCCCUUCAUGAAUAGAUCUGGUCAAUCGCCGGUAUUGUGGUCCACUUAAACACGACAAAUUGUGACAAAAUUAGGACAUACUAUAAGUGACAAGACCAUGCGAUCCUAAGUUCCUAGAUAAUAUUCCUUAAGGUACAUUCAGCUGACGAAGACCAAAGAUAUUGUUGUUCACCUAAAUUGAGCAGCGAGAUCUACAGACAAUCUUUAUGUGUUCAAUUUUAAUUGUACUAGAACGUGUUUCCCGCUUCCUGACAUGCCCCAACCAUCAUGGACUUCCAAAAUACUCCUUACACCGGGUGAGCAAACAAUUAUUAAGAGAGAAGAUAAAUUUAGAAUGCAUAUGUUGUACAUCCAGGUCAGAUCUCUUCCAAUCACGCAAAGGAUGAAACAUAUGACUAACUGAAGUUUUAGAGGGAUUGAGAAGAGAACGUUGCAUAUACUGUGUACCAGGUCGGAUUUUGAGUCACGCAGAGGAGACAGUAUAUGGCUAACAGAUAGAAAGAAUUGCAUAGAUAGAAGAUGCAGAGAGAUAGAGAUGCAUAUGUUAUAGCCCAAGUCGGAUCCCCCAAUCACGCAAAGGAGGCAACAUAUGACUAACAGACAAAAAGAAAGAAAAUAACCUUCUACAGACCUAGUUUAUCGGAAUUCCCCAGUCACCCCAUCCAACAGGAAUUAAGGACAGAAUCUGCACAUUGAGGAAAAUUAAAUCCACAGUUCUAGAUACGGGUUAUAUUAAUGUGACCGGUAGAUUCCCAUGUAUAUCUCCCUGCUCAACCUAUCCGAGCGUCGUACUGUCAGGCUAAACGGAUCUAAGUAGGUCAAGAUUUUUCAAGUCUCUAGAUUCCUUAAGUUCAUUAAUGCCUAGUCAAGUCCAUUUUAAUCUUUCGUGCCUACCAGCGCAUCGAAUACAGAGCCUACACAAUUCAGAUUCAGUCCCUUACACGGAUUCAGAUUGCCUGUUAUCACAUGAUUAUGUCACUUC